GGAAUAUUGGACAAUGGGGGGAACCCUGAUCCAGCCAUGCCGCGUGUGUGAAGAAGGCCUUUUGGUUGUAAAGCACUUUAAGCGAGGAGGAGGCUACUCUAGUUAAUACCUAGGGAUAGUGGACGUUACUCGCAGAAUAAGCACCGGCUAACUCUGUGCCAGCAGCCGCGGUAAUACAGAGGGUGCGAGCGUUAAUCGGAUUUACUGGGCGUAAAGCGUGCGUAGGUGGCCAAUUAAGUCAAAUGUGAAAUCCCCGAGCUUAACUUGGGAAUUGCAUUCGAUACUGGUUGGCUAGAGUAUGGGAGAGGAUGGUAGAAUUCCAGGUGUAGCGGUGAAAUGCGUAGAGAUCUGGAGGAAUACCGAUGGCGAAGGCAGCCAUCUGGCCUAAUACUGACACUGAGGUACGAAAGCAUGGGGAGCAAACAGGAUUAGAUACCCGAG
rnacentral:rRNA from 1 species